UACGUAGGGGGCAAGCGUUGUCCGGAGUUACUGGGCGUAAAGCGCACGCAGGCGGUCUCUUAAGUUUGGAGUGACAGUUGGUGGCUUAACUGCCAAAGUGCUUCGAAAACUGAGAGACUUGAGGGCUUCAGAGGGACACGGAAUUCCGGGUGGAGUGGUGAAAUGCGUAGAGAUCGGGAGGAACACCAGAGGCGAAAGCGGCGGCCUGGACAGGAACUGACACUCAACUACGAAAGCGUGGGGAGCAAACAGG
rnacentral:rRNA from 1 species